GCUAUAAAGAGCGCAGGGUGGAUGCCUUGGCACUAAGAGCCGAUGAAAGACGUGAUAAGCUGCGAAAAGCUUCGGGGAGGAGCAAAUAUCCUUUGAUCCGGAGAUAUCUGAAUGGGGAAACCUGGCUGAGUAACCCUCAGUCGACGUAUGGUGAAUACAUAGCCAUACGCUGGGAACCCGGUGAACUGAAACAUCUAAGUAGCCGGAGGAAGAGAAAGAAAAAUCGAUUCCCAAAGUAGCGGCGAGCGAAAUGGGAAGAGCCCAAACCAGCGUGCGUGCACGCUGGGGUUAUGGACUGCGGAAAGCUAGCUGAUUCGUUAGUGGAACUGUCUGGGAAGUCAGACCAAAGAGAGUGAAAGUCUCGUACACGAAARCGAUAGGCAGCGGCAGGAUCCAGAGUACCACGAGACACGUGAAACCUUGUGGGAAGUCGGAGGGACCACCCUCCAAGGCUAAAUACUCCUUAGUGACCGAUAGCGCAUAGUACUGUGAAGGAAAGGUGAAAAGGACCCCGGGAGGGGAGUGAAAAAGAACCUGAAACCCUGUGUUUACAAGCUGUGGAAGCACGUUAAGGUGCGACCGCGUACUUUUUGUAGAACGGUCCGGCGAGUUGCCGGUACUGGCAAGGUUAAGUGGUUAAGCCACGGAGCCGAAGGGAAACCAAGUCUCAAAUGGGCGUAAAGUCAGUACAGGCAGACCCGAAACCGGGUGACCUAUCCAUGUCCAGGUUGAAGCGGAAGUAAAAUUCCGUGGAGGACCGGAUCCACAUCCGUUGAAAAGGGUGGGAAUGAGGUGUGGAUAGGGGAGAAAUUCCAAUCGAACCCGGAGAUAGCUGGUUCUCCUCGAAAUAGCUUUAGGGCUAGCCUCAUAUUAGUCURGCGGAGGUAGAGCACUGAAUUCCUAAGGGGGCGUCAAAGCUUACCAAGGGAUAUCAAACUCCGAAUGCCGUAUAGAUGAUGUAUGGGAGUCAGACUGCACGAGAUAAGUUGGGUAGUCAAAAGGGAAAGAGCCCAGACCUACAGCUAAGGUCCCAAAGUGUGUGUUAAGUGGAAAAGGAUGUGGGAUUUCAGAGACAACUAGGAUGUUGGCUUAGAAGCAGCCACACAUUCAAAGAGUGCGUAAUAGCUCACUAGUCGAGAGGUCCUGCGCCGAAAAUGUCCGGGGCUAAAACACAACACCGAAGCUUAGGAAUCACUUUUAGUGAUUGGUAGAGGAGCAUUCUUAAAGGAACGAAGCAGUACCGACAAGGAGCUGUGGACUUUUAAGAAGAGAGAAUGCCGGAAUGAGUAGCGAGAUGGAGGUGAGAAUCCUCCAGGCCGAAUAUCCAAGGUUUCCAGAGUAAAGCUGAUCUGCUCUGGGUAAGUCGGGGCCUAAGGCGAGGCUGAAAAGCGUAGUCGAUGGACAACAGGUUGAAAUUCCUGUACCGCGUAUUAUCAGAACUGUGGGGACGCAGAAGGACAACACAACCCGGGAAUGGGAAGACCGGGGCAAGCGAGGUAGGAGUWSRGUUGGCAAAUCCGCUCAGUAAUCCGAAGACGUGACGCGUAGCGAAMYWUAAGUAGCGAAGUGUGUGAUUCCRGCUGCCAAGAAAAGCCGCUAUUGUGUAAUACGUGCCCGUACCGUAAACCGACACAGGUAGAUGAGGAGAGAAUCCUAAGGCCGGCGGGAGAAGCAUUGUUAAGGAACUCGGCAAAAUGACCCUGUAACUUCGGGAUAAAGGGUGCCAGAGAGAUCUGGCCGCAGAGAAUAGGCUCAAGCAACUGUUUAGCAAAAACACAGGUCUAUGCAAAACCGAAAGGUGAGGUAUAUGGGCUGACGCCUGCCCGGUGCUGGAAGGUUAAGAGGAGAGGUUAGCGCAAGCGAAGCUUUGAAU
rnacentral:rRNA from 2 species